rnacentral:rRNA from 1 species
UGGGGAAUAUUGGACAAUGGGUGAGAGCCUGAUCCAGCCAUGCCGCGUGCAGGAAGAAGGCGUUAUGCGUUGUAAACUGCUUUUUGCCAGGGGAUAAAAAGACCGUGCGCGGUUAAUUGAAGGUACCUGGUGAAUAAGCCACGGCUAGCUACGUGCCAGCAGCCGCGGUAAUACGUAGGUGGCAAGCGUUGUCCGGAUUUAUUGGGUUUAAAGGGUGCGUAGGUGGCCCUGUAAGUCAGUGGUGAAAUAUCUCAGCUUAACUGAGAGGGUGCCAUUGAUACUGCGGGGCUUGAGUACAGAUGAGGUAGGCGGAAUUGACGGUGUAGCGGUGAAAUGCAUAGAUAUCGUCAAGAACACCGAUAGCGAAGGCAGCUUACCAAGCUGUAACUGACACUGAGGCACGAAAGUGUGGGGAUCAAACAGGAUUAGAUACCCACGUAGUCCCUGAGCGGGCUGGCAAGGCGCAU